UAGUGUGGUGGCAAUUUAAAUCGCCUG
rnacentral:sRNA from 1 species